rnacentral:rRNA from 1 species
AUUGAACGCUGGCGGCAGGCCUAACACAUGCAAGUCGAACGAGUGGCGGACGGGUGAGUACUGUCUGGGAAACUGCCUGAUGGAGGGGGAUAACUACUGGAAACGGUAGCUAAUACCGCAUACCAUCAGAUGUGCCCAGAUGGGAUUUGCUAGUUGGUGGGGUACCGGCUCACAAAGGCGACGAUCCCUAGCUGGUCUGAGAGGAUGACCCGCAACACUGGAACUGAGACACUGUCCAGAGUCUUACGGGAGGCAGCAGUGGGGAAUAGUGCACAGUGGGCGCAAGCCUGAUGGAGCCAUGUGGCGUGUAUGAAGAAGGCCUUCGGGUGGUAAAGUACUUUCAGCGGGGAGGCGUUACCCGCAGAAGAAGCACCGGCUAACUCCGUGCCAGCAGCCGCGGUAAUC